rnacentral:rRNA from 1 species
UACGUAGGGUGCAAGCGUUGUCCGGAAUUAUUGGGCGUAAAGAGCUCGUAGGCGGUCUGUCACGUCGGCUGUGAAAUCCCCGAGGCUCAACCUCGGGUCUGCAGUCGAUACGGGCAAACUAGAGUAUUGCAGGGGAGACUGGAAUUCCUGGUGUAGCGGUGAAAUGCGCAGAUAUCAGGAGGAACACCGGUGGCGAAGGCGGGUCUCUGGGCAAUAACUGACGCUGAGGAGCGAAAAGCGUGGGGGAGCGAACAGG